rnacentral:rRNA from 1 species
AUCGACAUACCCCCUGAGUGUGCCUGAUCUUGUCUGAUCUCAGAACCAAGUUGGGGCCUGAUGAGCACUUGAGUGGAGACCUGGAUUACUGGGUGCUGUAGAUU